rnacentral:rRNA from 1 species
UCAAGCUCGUAAGAGUGCAUGGUGGAUGCCUAGGCGUCCAGAGGCGAAGAAAGACGUGGCAGCCUGCGAUAAGCUCCGGGGAGUUGGCAAACAAGCAUUGAUCCGGAGAUGUCUGAAUGGGGCAACCCCGUAUCAUCGAAUAGAUGGUACGACCGACACAUGAAUUCAUAGUGUGUCGGAGCCGACCCAGGGAAGUGAAACAUCUCAGUACCUGGUGGAAAGGAAAUCAACCGAGACUCCGUCAGUAGCGGCGAGCGAACGCGGACAUAGCCCAAACCGGACUUCGGUCCGGGGUUGCGGGUCCUCGAGGAGUUACAAAGGCGCGAUCAGCAGAAUGGUCUGGAAAGGCCGGCGACACAGGGUGACAGCCCCGUACGCGACGAUCGUUGCCCUCCGUUGAGAGGAUACCCAGAGUAGCACGGAUGUCGUGAAACUCCGUGUGAAGCCGGGGGGCCCACCCUCCAAGGCUAAGUACUCCUGGACGACCGAUAGUGAACAAGUAUGGCGACUGAAAGGUGAAAAGAACCGCUAUAAGCGGAGUUAAAAGAACCUGAAACCAUGCAUUUACAAGCAGUCAAAGACUUAUGUCUCUCUUCGGAGAGACCAGGUCGAUGGCGUACCUUUUGCAUAAUGGACCGGCGAGUUACUCCUCUGUGGCAAGGCUAAACCGCUCACGCGGUGGAGCCGUAGCGAAAGCGAGUCUGAAUAGGGCGAAAUGAGUCGCAGGGGGUAGACCCGAAGCUGAGUGAUCUACCCAUGGGCAGAAUGAAGCGCCCCUAACCGGGCGCGGAGGUUCGAAGCCGUGAACGUUGAAAAGUUCUGGCAUGACCUGUGGGGGGGAGUAAAAGUCUAAUCAAACUCAGGGAUAGCUGGUUCUCCCCGAAAAUGCUUUAGGGCAUGUCUCGAGUCACUACGUGAUGGGGGUAGAGCUACUGAAUGGAUCGCGGGGCCCACCAGGCUACUGCCUCCAAUCAAACUCCGAAUACCAUCACGGUUACCUCGGGAGAAAGACUGUGGGUGAUAAUGUCCACGGUCAAAAGGGAAACAACCCAGACCGCCAGCUAAGGCCCCCAAUUGCAUCUGAGUGCAUAAGGAAGUUGGAUUUCUGAGACAGCGGGGAUGUUGGCUUAGAAGCAGCCACCAUUUAAAAAGUGCGUAAUAGCUUACCCGUCGAGAAAUCCGGCACCGAUAAUGAACGGGACUAAGAUGCAAGCCGAAGCUGCGGGAACUAAGAAUGACGAAUUCCGAAUUACGAAUGACCAAACGCGGUCCGCGCCGCGCAUUGAGCGUUUCGCAAUUCGUAAUUUGAGAUUCGUCAUUCUUGGUUCGGUAGGGGAGCGUUGAUAGGCAGAUACAAGGCGUACCGUAAGGAGCGCUACAGGGCCUAUCAAGUGAGUAUGCCGGUUUAAGUAACGAUUAAGAGGGUGAAAAUCCCUCUCGCCGUAAGCCUAAGGUUUCCUGGGGAAGGUAAAUCCGCCCAGGGUUAGGCGGCACCUAAGGCGAGGCCGAAAGGCGUAGCCGAUGGAUUGCAGGUUAAUAUUCCUGCCCUCCGCAUGGCGGUUGACGUGAAGGUGCGCUUCUUCAAGAUGCAGCCCACGAUUAGGUUCGAGGGUUCCCGAAAGGGCGAAGCCGAUUUGUUGCUGAAGUGCGUGGAGAAGGAGCCGAGAAAAGCCUUUGCUGACAAGAUGCGGAUCCGUACUAAAACUGACACAGGUAGGCGAGGAGAGUAUCCUCAGGCGCUCGAGAGAACGGUUCUUAAGGAACUAGGCAAAUUCACCCCGUAACUCCGGGAGAAGGGGUCCCUCCUGCCUGUAGCAAUACAAGCAGAGGGCGCAGAGAAACGGCAGUGGCGACUGUUUAUCAAAAACACAGGUCUCUGCUAACUCGUAAGAGGAUGUAUAGAGACUGACGCCUGCUCGGUGCGGGAAUGUUAAGGAAGGCGGUCAAGGGGUUCGCCCCUGAAGCUGGCGACCGAAGCACCCGUAAACGGCGGCCCUAACUAUGAGGGUCCUAAGGUAGCGAAGUUCCUUGUCGGGUAAGUUCCGACGCGCAUGAAUGGCGAAACGACUGCUGCACUGUCUCAAGAACCGACUCGGUGAAAUAGGACUUGUGGUGAAGAUACCACAUACCCGUGGCAAGACGGAAAGACCCCGUGAACCUUCACUGUAGCCUGGUAUUGGAGCCGGCUAACACAUGCGUAGGAUAGGUGGGAGGCGUUGAUCCAGCGGUUUCGGCUGCUGGGGAGCCAUCGUUGAAAUACCACCCUUGUAUUAAUCGUCUCCUCACCCCGACCCGUGAAUCCGGGCGGGGGACAAUGCUAGGUGGGCAGUUUGACUGGGGCGGUCUCCUCCUAAAAAGUACCGGAGGAGCGCAAAGGUUGGCUCAGUGCGGUUGGCAAUCGCACGUAGAGCGCAAGGGUAUAAGCCAGCUUAACUGCAAGUUAUACAGAACGAGCAGAUGCGAAAGCAGGCCCUAGUGAUCCGGUAGUCCCGCGUGGAAGGGCUAUCGCUCAUCGGACAAAAGGUACUCCGGGGAUAACAGGCUGAUCUCCACCGAGCGUCCAUAGCGGCGUGGAGGUUUGGCACCUCGAUGUCGGCCCAUCGCAUCCUGGGGCUGAAGGCGGUCCCAAGGGUUCGGCUGUUCGCCGAUUAAAGCGGUACGCGAGCUGGGUUCAGACCGGCGUGAGCCAGGUCGGUCCCUAUCUGUCAUGGGCGCACCACACUUGACGGGAGACAACCCUAGUACGAGAGGAUUGGGUUGUAGCAAUCUCUAGUGCACCUGUUGUCCUGCUAAGGGCAUCGCAGGGUAGCUACAUUGCGAAAGGAUAAACGCUGAAAGCAUCUAAGCGUGAAGCCCCCCCGAAGAUAAGGUGUGGAUGUCUCUUCGGAGACGAAAGACCCCUCGAAGACUACGAGGUUGAUAGGCCAGAGGUGUACGAGCCGAAAGGCUUUAAGCUGACUGGUACUAACGGUCGAUUGCUUGAUCAC